UUUGGAACUGAUUAAAGAAAAUAAUAGUGACACAAAAUUAUUAUAGUGAAUGAAGAAUACUUCCAAGAAGGAAAGUUGUUGAAUUGGCUCAACCAUUCACUAAAUCUGGAAUUCCCAAAUCAUAUCAAUGUUUCAAGUUUCAAUGGCAGCAGAAGCUUCCCUCUCAAUCUCCCUUCACUUGCAGCCGCACCACCACCACCACCUCCCAGCCGCAACCCACCGACACCCAUUUCUUCAAUUCCCCAACCACAAGCAACACAAUAACUCCAUCUCUCUCUCAGCCUCCCACUCUCCCUCUCCCUCUCCCUCCCCCUCUUCGUCCUCUCCCUCAUUACUGAAUCCGCUUCAAACCGGCCGAUUUCUCACCGACGACGACCUCGAGAAGCUCGAGCUUCUCGGGAACUACAGCUACCACCAGCAAUUGGAAUCCGGGCUUCUCUGGGUUCGCGCGAUGAGGGAGGAGGAGAUGGACCUGACCGUGACUCUGCUGUCCGAGUCCUUCGCGGAAUCGAUGAUGAUGGCGAGCGGUUAUGUGAAAUUGUUGGAGUUCUUGGUGAAGAAUUACUUGAUUGAGAGGAGGGAGAUGAUGCCUCACAAUGCUACGCUUCUAGGAGUGUACAGGGAGAAUGGGGAAGAGGAUUUUGAGCUGGCGGGAACUGUGGAAUUGACUUUUGAUGGAAAGGGGGCGAAUGCGAAUCCUCCUACUCCUACGCCGCCUAAGAACUCGCCUUACAUUUGUAAUAUGGCUGUCAGGAAGCCUCUCAGGAGGAGAGGCAUUGGCUGGCAUUUACUGAGAGCGGGCGAAGAACUUAUUACAAAAAUGAGUUCAUCUAGGGAGGUCUAUCUGCACUGCAGAAUUAUUGACAAAGGUCCAUUCAACAUGUAUACAAAAGCAGGUUACAGCGUUGUUCAGACGGAUAGCAUCUUGACCUUGUUAACGCUACAGAGGCGGAGGCGCUUGAUGCGCAAAGAACUUCCUGCCUCUGAGGAUGCUUCUGCUGUAGAUGCUCCUCCUGAUGACCAGCUUAUUGAUGAACGGUUGUAAAAAUGGCCUUUGAGGUUCCCUUUGUGUAGAUACUCGUACACCAGAAACCUUUGCUUCCCAUCUGCACAGUAUCCAAUCAAGUUGACGAGAUUGGGAUGGUCCAGUCUGCUCAGAAUAUCGACCUCUACGCGGAACUCCCUCUCUCCCUCUGCCUUCUUGAAUGGUGAAAAGUGCGACUCCAACAUACCUGCCCGGACCUUAGAGUGCCUUUAUAUACCCGGCCAAAGCCUCCUUUCCCAAGCAGGUAUUCAUCACUGAAGGAACAUGUCGCCUCCUCCAUCUCCUUCACCGUGUAUACUGCUGAUGCAGCUCUUCUCUUCGGCGGAGGCCCUUUGCACUCGAUCUGCCACUGCUCCACAGAAACUAAUCCAAAAGGCAUCUUUUGUUGCUUUGGUCUAGGAAGAAGUAGUCCUAACACAACAACAUAGGAGUUGAGAUUUCCUUAAACUAGAAGCAGGUGUAAGAAUGAGGCCGGAGAGAGGUUAUAUUGUUUGGAAGUACGAGAAUCGGUAUAUGAGUGUGUACAAAGCAAGUGAGGUAAGUUAGCUUUGAGCAUACUUAGUUCCAACAACAACCAGGAUUUGGCACUUGAAGUUAAAGAAAGAGGUGUAAUUUGCUUAGGUUUGUGCAUGCGUAUGUAUGUCUGAAAGGGAAAGAGCAUCUGCAAAAUCUUGUUCCAUAAUUUCUUGUUUUGAAUAUUUGUGAGAAUGAGAAAUGGUGUGGUUGAGGGGUGGCUUUCAUUGCUGCUCCAAAUCAAUCUUCUGUUCAACUUCUCAUUUGAUCGCACGUCCUUGUUCUUCAAAGCAACUUUUGUUUGUUAGAAUACAACCAUACUCAUAUUUUUA